rnacentral:miRNA from 1 species
AAGCCCAGUGUUCUCCAGUCCAUGGCUUCUUCACAGAGUGUGGCCAGCUGGAGAUUAUGAUGCCUGCCACUGUCCCACGAACCAUCUCUGCUCGCCCAUUUCUAAUACUCAGCACGUGUGGCACAGAUUUAAGGACUACAAAGGCUC